AUGCACGCGGCGGCCAGCCAGCAGCAGCUGCGCGGGCUCGCACGCGGCGGCUGCGCUGCGCACGCACGCAUGCACAUGGCCAGCCGCCGGCGGCCAGCUAGUAGCAGCUGCGCUACGCACGCGCACACGCGCGGUGACCAGCCAGUCGCGACUUCGCAUGCACGCACGCCCGCCGCGGCCUGCCAGCGGCGACUGCUCACGCACGACCUCUGUUCGGACGACCGCGUACACAAUCCAGACAGGGAUACGACCACAUGUGGGCAGGGCAACGGCGGCGUCGGCGAGCAGGCCACCGCGCCGGCAAGCAGGCAGGCCGCGCCGACGAGCAGGAAGGCCGUGCCGCUGCGCCGCUGGGCAGGCCGCGCCGCCGGGCAGGCAGGCCGACGCGCCGUGCGCUGGCCUCCGCUCGAGCUGGCUGGCUAG
rnacentral:rRNA from 1 species